rnacentral:rRNA from 1 species
UACGUAGGGGGCAAGCGUUGUCCGGUUUUAUUGGGCGUAAAGAGCGUGUAGGCGGCCAGGUAGGUCUGCUGUGAAAACUCGAGGCUCAACCUCGAGAUGUCGGCGGAAACCAUCUGGCUAGAGUCCGGAAGAGGAGAGUGGAAUUCCUGGUGUAGCGGUGAAAUGCGCAGAUAUCAGGAAGAACACCCGUGGCGAAGGCGGCUCUCUGGGACGGUACUGACGCUGAGACGCGAAAGCGUGGGGAGCGAACAGG